rnacentral:misc_RNA from 1 species
CCACGACUUCCUGCAGCAGCAGCGACAGCCAUGAUGCGUCCCACGCGACGCGCCUUCUUCGACUCCUUCCGGGCCGCCCGUGGCGAGCUCGACCAUCUCUUCUCCUCAAUGAAAUCGGAGCAGCACAUGCGCAGGGCGGUGCAGCAGUACCUUCUCCCCUCCCUCUCUCGCCGGCUGCACCGCUCCCGUGGGGGGCGUCUGGGACGCGCGCAGGAGCGCAGUCUUUUCCGUACCAACGCCUCGCUCCUCUUGCAGGAGGCGCGGCGACGUUGCAACCACCGCGUCGCGGCCGCCACGCUGGACGUUGUUCUCGCUGAGCCGCAACUGUCGCGCUUUGCGCAGAUGUUCGAGCCCGCGUGGGUCAAGGACGCCGUCUCGUCGUGCCGCAGCGCGGCAGAGCUGCGCGUUAUCGAGGGCGUGCUGCGGCAGCACGAGCGGAGAGUGCUCGCCAGCGGCUCUGCCGCCACCUCAGAGGGGUUUCUGCUGGCCGCAGCCUUUGGCCGCUCGCGAGCAACGGAGAGUGCGCUGCGCCUCGGAGACGACGACGUCGAUGCCGAUGCCGACGACGGCGCACAGAGUGGCUCACUUGCCUCCACGCGCACCGCUUCGCUACAAGCGGCAGGCGACGCACUGCCCAGCAGCGGCGCGGCUGAAGGCGGUGGCGCUGGCGUCACGAUUUCCAAAGAAGCGCGCGUGUCGGCCGCUCUGGCACAACCACCGUCACUCACCGACCUCGCCACAACGGGCGGCACUGGAAGCGACGCGCUCUGGUCGUCGCCGGAGGAGCGAGCGGCCGCCGGGCUGCGAGGGCUACAGCGUCACCAGCGUAAUUUGACGGCCGGUCCAAACGUGUCCUUCACCCGCUACUUCCUUCAUCAAGGCCUUGUGCGCCACGAGGGGGAGCUCAUGGCGCUGUAUCAAGCCAUGCGCGCUCGACCGCUGGACGUGAGCUUCCGUGUCGUCGGCGGUGGCGAUGCUGCCAGCGGAGCCGCACAGGCCCCCGGACUUCUCUCGCCGCACGCCAGCGCCGUGCACAUUCUGCUGCAGCGCCGCCGUGGUUUGCACCGCGUGCCGUGGCUACCACCAGCGAUGGGUGCCUAUACUCUCGACACCCGCGCUAGCAUCCCUGCUGACACGGUGCUGGCGAACCGGCAGCUUCUGCGGUCCCUCGCUCGCGAGCGUCUCAUUGUGUAUCAGAGCUUGCCGAGCAUGCUGCCUAUCUACUACCUUGACCCACAGCCAGGGGAGUGUGUGCUGGAUAUGUGCGCGUCUCCGGGCAACAAGACAGCGCUGAUACUGGACUGUAUGCACGCUGGCGGCAACAGCCAUCCACACUGGCCCUCAACUACCACAUCCGAGGCCGGCAGCACGGCGUGUGAGACUAGCCGCCGCGCUCUUGUCGGCAGCGGCUGUGUGGUCGCCAACGAGGCACAGGCCUCCCGCAUUUCAGAUCUGCAGGAGCGCCUGCGCAACGUAUCGCCCGAGGUGGUCGUCACUCAGGGACGGGGGCAGGCGCUUGGACUGGGAGACUGGCACGAAGGCAGCAGCAACGGCGGCGUGGGCGGCGGAGGCGAUGCAUCGUCCCUUGCGCAUGGAGCCGUUCUUGUUGAAGGUUUGUACGACCGCGUGCUGGUCGACGCGCCGUGCUCUGGUGAGGGCCGCAUGGGGCGCGACGCCCUCUCGUGGCGGCUGUGGCACCCAGGACGCGGCAUCGAGUUUUUCCCGUUGCAGUGCGCGCUGCUGCAGCGUGCGGUGAGGCUGUGCAAGACGGGCGGCCGUAUCGUCUACGCCACCUGCACUCUCAAUCCACUGGAGAACGAGGCGGUUGUGUCGGCGGUGCUGCGGGCGUGCGGCGGCGCCGUGGAGCUCAUACCUCCUCCGCGCCCACUGCCACGGCGGACCGAGCUGCAGACCGAGGAGGACGUCGGUGGCAGUGUGCCGCCACUGCGCCUCACUGCUGGGCUUCGGAGUUGGGACGUCCCAUCCGGCGCCGGCGGAUUCUUGUGUAGCGCCGCGGAGGCCUACGCACAAGGGGAGAGCGCAGCACGGCUGCCGCCCGACAUGUUUGCGCCGACAUCGGCGGGUGCGGAGGGCGACCGAACGGACAUCAGCGGCGCACUGCAGCGGUGCUGCCGCCGGGUCAUGCCGCACCUGAACGGCAACGCAGACGGCUUCUUUGUCGCGGUUCUCGAGAAGCGCGCAGGCGUACCUCACAUGCUUGGUGCUGCGGAGAGCCGUUCCUUAGUAGCACCGCCAUCGCGCCUCGACCCUGCAUCCGCCACUGCCGUCGGGCCGACUUCGCCCGCUGCGGCGUCGCUGGCCGUCUCGCUCGCUGGAGGCAGCAACAUUUUGAAUGACCGCGGCUUUGUGCGACUGCCUCCGUCGCAUCACCUCGUCCUCCAGCACCUGGGCGGAUUCUUCACCUCGGCCCCGCCGCGCCAGGCGUCAUCACUGGCCACGGCUUCUUCUUGCAUGGCUGAACAGCCGCAGCAGGGUGAGUGUACCAGCGUUCAAGCCUUCCUGGAGAGGCACGGCUGGACGGCCGUCUGGUGCGAAGGAGAGGGGCUGCGGCUCCUCUCUCAGGCUACAGUGCAGCUGCUGCGGCGUCAUUCUACCGUUCCGGUGGCGCCGCCAAAGGGCAGGCCGAAUAGCUCCGCUCUCGGCUUCGCCCGCCAUUCUGAGGAAGCAUCCAAGGCGUCCCCCGCACCGCCGUCCACCGGCACGGAGCUGCUCGACGCAGGUGUGCUCGUGGUGGGUGCGCAGGGGGAGCUGACGGAGCGCGGGGCGGCGCUGAUCCGUCCAAGUGCGAGGAGCCGCGUUGUUUCGCUGCCGCUCCCUUUUGCGCAGCUGCUGCUGGCGAAUCGCACACUCGACGUUGGCGCCUCACUGCAGCUCAUGCCGGCCUACGUACAGGAGGCGGAGCAGGCUCUGGGACCACAGCACGGCUUCCUGGCGCCGUCUUCAGCUGCUACGCGGGGCAGAGACGACCCAGCAUCCAGCGAAGCACACACCUCGACGUGGUACCGAGAAGCCCUCGCGGCUCUCACCCCGGCACUCGGUGGGGGAGCAGGGGCGGCCGGUAACGCCAUCGUCGUGGUGCGUGUGUCGUCCUCCGGCCCCUCAGCCUCCCCGUCAUGGGCGGCACCGCUGGCUCAGUGGGCCUGGCCCGUGCGCGUUGAAGUGAUGCAGCCAUGGUCGUGGCACGACAUCGGCGACACGCCACGGGGGCUGGCGCGGCUUCACUUGACGCUCCCCGCAGCCGCGCGCCACCGCACGCAGGCCCUCAUUGGCCGCUUGCAAGGACACGCACAUCGCCAGCGGAGCACGCAGGAGCGGCUGCAAGCCAGCUCGCGGCAUGACCCAUCGCUCAUAAUGGGCCAACAGGCAUUGCACGGUUCCGCAAUGCAAGCGAGCCAGCAGCAUCGACUUCUCUUUGGCGGUGCUGCGCAGGCGUCGGCGCUGCGAGCACAGCCAACAGAGGCGCUGCCCGCUCGGGAUUCAACGAUGACCACCCCUGCGACACCCUUGUCGCAGUCGUUGGACGUGUUCGAGCUGUGACACUCGCUGGACUUGCGAGCGAAGCGCUCACUGCCUCCCUCUUGCCGCGCGCCGCUCACAUCACGCGUAACGCUUAACCACGUUGUACCCACACGUACGCGCACAACU